GAGUAGUAAUAGUUAUGUUCUUGAAACUUAAAGAAUUUGGCGGUAUUUUAGUCUAUUCAGAGGAACCUGUUCUGUAAUCGAUAAUCCACGAGGACUUUAUUUAUACUUGUUUUUAAUUUGUAUACCGCCGUUAUAAAUUAUCUUAUUAGAGAAUUAAUUUUUUUAAUUUUUAAAAAGUAUAUCAGGUCAAGGUGCAGUUUAUGUAUAAGGAAGAAAUGGGUUACAAUAAUUUUAUUUAAAUGAAUUUAAAAUUGAAAUAUUUUAUUGAAAGCGGAUUUGAAAGUAAAAUUAUAUAUUUAGUUAAUUUGAUUUUAGCUCUAAAAUAUGU
rnacentral:rRNA from 1 species